GAUGAACGCUGGCGGCGUGCCUAAUACAUGCAAGUCGAGCGAACGGACGAGAAGCUUGCUUCUCUGAUGUUAGCGGCGGACGGGUGAGUAACACGUGGAUAACCUACCUAUAAGACUGGGAUAACUUCGGGAAACCGGAGCUAAUACCGGAUAAUAUUUUGAACCGCAUGGUUCAAAAGUGAAAGACGGUCUUGCUGUCACUUAUAGAUGGAUCCGCGCUGCAUUAGCUAGUUGGUAAGGUAACGGCUUACUAAGGCAACGAUGCAUAGCCGACCUGAGAGGGUGGUCGGCCACACUGGAACUGAGACACGGUCCAGACUCCUACGGGAGGCAGCAGUAGGGAAUCUUCCGCAAUGGGCGAAAGCCUGACGGAGCAACGCCGCGUGAGUGAUGAAGGUCUUCGGAUCGUAAAACUCUGUUAUUAGGGAAGAACAUAUGUGUAAGUAACUGUGCACAUCUUGACGGUACCUAAUCAGAAAGCCACGGCUAACUACGUG
rnacentral:rRNA from 1 species